UACGUAGGGGGCAAGCGUUGUCCGGAUUUACUGGGCGUAAAGAGCGCGCAGGCGGUGCGAUCAGUCGAAUGUGAAAGCCCCCGGCUCAACUGGGGAGGGUCAUUCGAUACUGUCGGACUCGAGGGCAGGAGAGGGAAGCGGAAUUCCCGGUGUAGUGGUGAAAUGCGUAGAUAUCGGGAGGAACACCAGUGGCGAAGGCGGCUUCCUGGCCUGUUCUUGACGCUGAGGCGCGAAAGCUAGGGGAGCAAACGGG
rnacentral:rRNA from 1 species